rnacentral:miRNA from 1 species
GAAUCGCUUGAACCCAGGAGGUAGAGGCUGCAGUGAGCCAAGAUCGUGCCACUGCACUCCAGCCUGGGUGACA